rnacentral:rRNA from 1 species
AUGAGCAUCUCCGGCGAGAUCAAGAAGCUAGAGCCGGAGUACCCGCGGCGGCCCGGCCAGCCCGACUCCUUCUGCUACGUCAAGUUCGGGAGCCGCAGGUUCAGUUCGGAGACCAGCGAGCUCAAACAGCUGGAACCGGAGUGCCCGCGGCGGCCCGGUAAUCCGGACUGCCCGAUGGGUGACUCCGCUAGUUCUGCCACACCGUCCUCCUCGAUGAAUCUCGCCAACUCGAAGGCUGGCGAGAUCAAACAGCUGCAGCCGGAGUACCCGCGGUGGCCCGGCCAGCCCGACCGCUUCUACUACCUCAAGUUCGGGAGCUGCAUGUCCAAUUCGGACACCGUCGAGCUCAAACAGCUGGAACCAGAAUACCCGCGGCAGCUCGGCCAGCCGGACAGCCCAAUGGGCGACUCUCCGAUCGUUCCCUCCUCCACUGGUUCUGCCACACUGCCCUCGUCGAUUAGAGUCGCCAAUUCGGAGACCGGCGAGAUCAAUCAGCUGGUGCCGGAGUACCAGCCGCGGCCCAGCGAGCCGGACUGCACGAUUGGCGACUCUCCGGUCGUCCCCUCCUCCGCUGGUUCUGCCAGAUCACCCUCCUUGCUCAAUCUCGCCAAUUCGGAGACCGGCGAGAUGAAGCAGCUGGAGCCGGAGCACCCGCGGUGGCCCGGCGAGCCGGACUGCCCGAUGAGCGACUCCUCCUCCUUGUCGACUGUAAGCAUCACCACUCCUCCUUCAGAAAACAAAAGAAGCAUCACCGCUCCGGCAGGUGACCCCUCCGAUGGCUCCGCCGCACCGCCGGCCGAUUCAGAGACCGGCCAGAAGCAGCCGGAGCCGGAGUACCCGCUGCGGCCCGGCAAGAGCGACUGCUCCUACUACGUCAAGUUCGGAAGCUGCCGGUACGGGAUGAAUUGCUGGUUCAAUCAUCCUCUCUACAUGCGUGGUGGCCGUGGGUUUCAGCGGGAUAAUUGGGUUGGAAGGAACAGCAGCCGAGCAUCUAAUUCAUCCGAGUACAAGCAGUAUAUUUUCGACAAAGCAUGCAACUACAACCGCCAUGAAGGAAAAACCAAAGUCAAGCAAGUGAAGCUGAAUUUCCUUGGGCUUCCACUUCGUCCAGGUACAAUACCAUGUUUGUACUAUAUGAAUCGCGGAACCUGCAAAUUUGGCACCAACUGUAAGUUUCACCAUCCAGAUCCAGAAUCAGAAGACGCGAUUUUGAAUGCUUUGCAGCAUACUACUCAAGGAUCAUAUCAAAUGAAUCUUUCAACAAAGCAUGUCCAGCGAGCACUGAAUGGGCAUUCUGUUCCCUUAGUUACAUCACCAACUAUUGGAACAUCGGAAAUUGUUCCAACUCAAGGAGUCAAUCCAUGUCCAGAAUGGAGUGAAUAUCAGAUGGAUGAAAACAAGCAAGGAAAAUCAGAUUGGGAUCCUUUCACUACUAAAGUUUUUUGUGAUAUUUGUACCGAUGAGGUUUUAGCUGGAAAUCGACCAACCGACCAUUUGAAUGGUAUUGGGUAUAAGAACUUAUGCGCCAAGUUCAAUGAAAAAACAAAAAAAGGCUACAGUCACAAGCAAUUUGAAAGUAAGUGGGAGUCAUUGAAGAAAGACUACCAGACAUGGAAGGCAUUGAUGGGGCAGGGUACUAAAAUGAAUACAAUAUCUGCAAGUCUAGAAUGGCGGGCAAAAAAGAUGGAGGUAAUGCCAGAUUGCGGAAAGUUCUGUUUUGCGCCACUCGAGAAUGUUAAUCUUCUAAAUAUAAUGUUUGAGGAUAUGGUAGAUUUACGUCCAACUGCACCUGAAGCUAAUUUGGCAGUCAAUACAACUUUCAGAUGUGAGCAAGGUGCUGGUGAUGGAAAUGAUGUAGGCAUCAUUGAUAAGUAUGUUAAUGAGCAAUCUAAAGAGGCAAUGCUACAGCAAUCUUAUAAAAAAGAACCCAACUUGACGAAAGUCAAGACAAAUUAUGUGCAUGCGGAACUCAAUGAUCUUGUUAACUUUGAAGGAAAUCUGAACCCAAGCAAUUUGGCAACGCCUAUGAGGAUCAAUCGAGUAGGAAGCAAUAUUUCUGAGAUCAUGGAGUUGGUUGUAGGUGCUGGAGCUGAGGAGGGCAGUGAUGAACAUUUCCUUGCUACUCAGUUAUUUAUUAGACCUGAACAUCGGGAAAUGUUUCUUACCCUAAAGACCCCUCGAGGAAGGCUUGGGUGGCUUAAAAACAUGUGCCUCGUGAAGGAUCGUACUUCAACUGUAGCUGAUGUUUAUUCUCUAAAACUAAUUUGA